rnacentral:rRNA from 1 species
CCUACGGGAGGCAGCAGUGAGGAAUAUAGGUCAAUGGCCGUAAGGCUGAACCAGCCAAGUCGCGUGAAGGAAGAAGGAUCUAUGGUUUGUAAACUUCUUGUAUAGGGGAAUAAAGGUAUCCAAGUGUGGAUAUUUGCAUGUACCCUAUGAAUAAGCAUCGGCUAACUCCGUGCCAGCAGCCUCGGUAAUACGGAGGAUGCGAUCGUUGUCCGGAUUUAUUGGGUUUAACGGGUGCGUAGGUUGUUUUUUAAGUCAGCGGUGAAAUUUUGUGGCUCAACCAUAAAAUUGCCGUUGAAACUGGAAGACUUGAGUGUGUUUGAGGUAGGCGGAAUGCGUGGUGUAGCGGUGAAAUGCAUAGAUAUCACGCAGAACUCCGAUUUCGAAGGCAGCUUACUAAGCCAUAACUGACACUGAAGCACGAAAGCGUGGGGAUCACACAGGAUUAGAUACCCCAGUAGUC